rnacentral:rRNA from 1 species
UACGUAGGGUGCAAGCGUUGUCCGGAAUUAUUGGGCGUAAAGAGCUCGUAGGCGGUCUGUCGCGUCGGAUGUGAAAAUCCAGGGCUCAACCCUGGACCUGCAUUCGAUACGGGCAGACUAGAGUUCGGCAGGGGAGACUGGAAUUCCUGGUGUAGCGGUGAAAUGCGCAGAUAUCAGGCGGAACACUGGUGGCGAAGGCGGGUCUCUGGGCCGAAACUGACGCUGAGGAGCGAAAGCGUGGGGAGCAAACAGG